UACGUAGGCAGCGAGCGUUGUUCGGAGUUACUGGGCGUAAAGGGUGUGUAGGCGGUUCUUUAAGUUUGGUGUGAAAUCUCCCGGCUCAACCGGGAGGGUGCGCCGAAUACUGAGGGACUAGAGUAUGGGAUGGGAAAGUGGAAUUCCUGGUGUAGCGGUGAAAUGCAUAGAUAUCAGGAGGAACACCUGUGGUGUAGACGGCUUUCUGGACCAUAACUGACGCUGAGACACGAAAGCGUGGGUAGCAAACAGG
rnacentral:rRNA from 1 species